AGUCAUGAACUGUAGCCACAGCUGGAACUAUUGGAACAUUCCAGGAGAUGAAAACAAAGAUUCCCUCCUCCUUCCCUUCCAUCUUACUGAGGACCCAUCAGUCACCCUUGUGAGUGCACUUUAGCCAUAGCAAGAGCAAGAUCAGAGAGAAAUAAGGACUUAUGACCAUUAGACCAGGAGACAGGAAGCGAUGGUUCUGGAAGGGGCUCUGUUACUAACUUUGGAAUUCAACUGUCCAGAUAGAAAGGUGGACAUGGAAAAAUUGGGCUUUGCAAAUGGUCACCCAAUUCUUGCCUUCCUGGUCUCCAGAUCACCCUUCCUAUACCGCCACUCUGGAGAAAGAAGUACAGAACGCUAACAAGGAUGGCUUGGAGUUGCAGUGGUCACCUCAGAUCUUAAGGUCACUUUGGAGAUGGAACCCCUGUGACUAGGAAUGGCAGAACAGAAAGGUAGAAAGAGAUUGAGUCCUGGGGAUGUGGCAGAGCCACCAUCCUAGCCCCGUACUGCGUACUUCUGGACUUCCUUUAAAUUGAGAGAAACAUGUUCCUACCAUAUUUAACCAUUUGGUGUUCUAAACCCCAUUCCUAGCUCUGGAAUGCCCUGGCAGAGCUGGUGCUGGCUGGGACCCCAGUGGUCCUUGGUGACCUUGCUCAGCAGUGCUCUUUCCACAAAUGACCCCACUACUAUCAUGUGCAGAACUAUCUUGGUGUGUGUGUGUGCAUGAGCAGACAUCCACAGCCAAGUAAUUUUCAAAGCUGUCAGCUCUGCUCUCCUGUAGCCUCCUGCUCCCCACUGCCUUCUCAUUUCCACCAGAGGAAGGUGAGGCUGCUGGUGAGGAGCUUUUUCCUUUUCCCUUUUCUGAAUUGUUUACUAUAUUAAACACUCAAUAUCCACUGCCCAGAAUAUUAUUAUGCUAAUAUUUCUCUGAUUUAUUUUUACUUUUAUUUGUAAUUAAAGAAAUAAAACACUAUAGGUACUAUCGCACCCUUUUUAUCCUUUCUGUGAGCCUAUUCUACUCCUUCUUCCAAAAAGGCAUUCUCUUGAACUUGCAUGCAUUCUGUGUUUUUAUGCUUCUAUUAUGCAUAUGUCUGAAUCCAUACGUGAUUGAUAACAUUGUUUUAUAUGUUUUAAAUAUGUGUGUAAAUGGUAUAUUAAUGUGGUUUGAUUUUUUACACAGACCUUGGAUUUUUUCAAGAUCAUCCUUCUUGAUGCCUGCAUCUAGCUCACGGGAACUCACUGCUGUGCCUGUACAGUGUUUUCCCAUUGCUCUAUUGAUGAACAUUUAAAUUGUUUUCCAAUUUUCAAUAUUGUAAAUAAUGCAAUAAUAAACAUCCUCUUACCUGUCCUAUUACACACCGGAGUAAGAGUUUUUCUAGGGAUUAUAUUUAGACAUAAAACUAGUUGUCAUAGGGUAUGUAUAUCCUUACUUUUACAAGGUAUUUCUAAAUUGCCCUCUAAAGAGAUAAAAACAAUUUGGACUUCCUCUAGGAUGGCAGUGCCCAUUUCCCAUAAAAACUUGGCAUUGCUGAACCUUUCAAUUUUUGACAGUUGAAUAGGUGUGAAAUGCUAUCUAUUUGCUUUUUAAUGGGCAUUUCCCUGAUUAUCAGUGAGGUAGGCCAUCUUUUCAUAUUUUUAUAGGCCAUUUUGAUUUCCAUUUCUGUGAACUGCCUGCUUUAAUAUUUUGUUUUUCUGUUGGGCUGUUUGUCUUUUACUUAUUGUUGUCCCCAUCUGACUCCCUAUCCCAUAUACACACAUUUUUGGAGAUUAACCCUUUUUAGGUCACAUGCAUUGCAAACUUCUCCUCCAAAUCUCUCACCUGUCUUUUAGCUUUGUUUAUGGUGACUUUGUUCCUACAAGACUAUAAACUUGGUCUUAAAUUUUAACAUAGUCAAAUUUAUUGAUCUUUUUCAUUACUUUUGUGUUCUUAAAAUUUUUUCUUAAUCAGAUAUUAUUAAACUAUCUUCCUGAAUAUUCUUUGAAUAGUUUAAAAGAUAAUUUUUUACUUUAACUUUUAAUCCAUCUGGAAUUUAUUUGCAAUAUUUUGUGUUAUUUUGCAUAUGAAAUUGAGCUCUAAUGUUAAUUUUCCAAUAUGAAGAGCCAAUUUCUGUGACACUAUGUAUCAAACAGUCUAUUCCUUCCCCACUUAGUUGUAAUCACCCCAUCAUGUACCAGUUUUCCAAAAUGCCUGGGUCUCUUUCUAGACUUUCUAGUUUAUUCCACUGGUCUCUCUAUCCCUAUACUUCUCUUGCACAAUUUUUUUCCUGUGCUUUGAUGUCUACAGUGUAAAUUCAUCUUCUUCAUAGUCAGUCUUUUUCAAAUUUCUUUGGACUGUUCUUGGCCCUUUGGCUUUCAAAUGAAUUUUGAUUAAUCUUUUAAUAAAAUGCUUCCCUCCUACCUCAUUCGACACAUACUUCUCUCCCAUCUCAUUCCUAUUCUGAAGGCUACUGCCCUCAAAGAUCUAGUUUCCAGCCUUGAAUCUGCCACCAAAUGCCCGUCUAUUCUUGUGCAAGUCCCCUAAUCUCUCUGGGUUUCAGUUUCCUCACCUGUCAGGUCUGCUUUGCCUAUAUCACAGGAUUGCUGAGCUGAUGAAAUGAGAUAAAGAUGAGAGAUGCUUUGAACAGUUCAAAACACCAAGUUAAAGAGUUAAAAACAAUAAUCUCUAUGUGAUCUGAGACAAAAUGUGAAAUUCAGAUUAUUUCUCCCCCAGUUUUUUCUACACUUUGUGACACUCCUUUCUGUCAAACUUCCAGUGUUUUGCAUCUUCCAGUGAGAUGCGAAGGUCUUCUGUUCAGGGUAGAAUUAUUAUGUUGAUGGGCUGGGGACAGCUGGGAUUUAUAUGCCCUGGGUCCCAUUUUGGAUUCUCUCUUUGUGACUUAAUGUAAGGCACUUAAACUCUUUGAAUCUCAAUUUCUUCACCUUUAAGAAGAAUAUUAAAAAUUCUCUCCCCCAAGUAGUAUUGUGUUUUUGUUUUUGUUUUUGAGACAGAGUCUUGCUCUGUUGACCAGGCGGGAGUGCAGUGGUACGAUCUCGGCUCACUGCAAUGUCUGUCUCCUGGAUUCAAGCAAUUCUCAUGCCUCGGCCUCCCAAGUAGCUGAGACCACAGGAGCACACCACCACACCUAGAUAGUUUUUGUAUUUUUAGUAGAGACAGGUUUUCCCUAUGUUGGCCAGGCUGGUCUUGAACUCCUCACCUCAAAUGAUCUGCUGGCCUCAGCCUCUCAAAGUGCUGGGAUUAUAAGUAGCAUUGUGAAAUUCAAGAGAUUUAGUAUAGGUUAACUGUUACAUAAAAUGUGAAGCCCUAUAAGAAUCAUGAGCCAUUAUUAUGAAUGUUCUUGCUGACAUAUGCAUGCAGAAAGGACUUACAGAAAGGCAAUGAUGUUUCUCACCACUUGAAUCGAACCAUGUAGGAUAAUCAAAACCAUUUUUGUCUACAAGUAUGGUUGGCCCAGUGCAAUGUCUUCACAGUCUUCUAGAAGAUGCAGGAAAUCUUUUUCAAAAAUAAUAUGUCCUUUAGGCUUUGCAGCCUGGAUGUGUGGAAAAGUGGAGGUAGCUGGGGAGUUCGUCUUGUCCAUCUGGACAAACAGGAAGAACUAUCCUUAUGCAGUGCUGGCUCACCACUGACCCGAGGGAGUGAGAACGUGGGGACUAAAGGGUGGGAACAAAUCAGUCUUUGUACCUUCCUUGCUGAGUGUGGAUACCAUUCAGUUAGAUUGAACAUUGAGGUCAGCCCUGAUGUAAUGUGAGAGCACUUCCCCUGGAGUGAGCAGAUGGUUUUGCCUUCCCAGCCCCUUAAAUGUUUUUAACCCUUGCUACUCAGGUGACCAGAGCAUCUUCAUUUCCUGCACCAGGAUCAGACUUGGGCUUGAGCCAAUGACAUUCAUGGGCCAGAUGACCCAAAGCUGUAGUCCACCUGCUUACUGUAACACAGAAUGCCCUUUUCCCCACUAAGUUCUUACCCUUUCCUCAGUUCUGUUGAAAUAAGAUUUCUGACCUGUUCUUUAGCCACUUCCAUGGCUGACCAUGAACUCUACUCUUUUGACCACCAGUACCUGCUGAAAGUUGCUGGAAUCCUUCUAAGCCAAUAUCAGGACUACCUGUCCUGCCCUGCCCUGCCCUCAGCCUCUGCCAAUGCCACUUCUUUGCUGUUGUUUGGGCAGAACCCUGGAUUUGGAUGUUGGUUUGGAUCUUAGUCCCCAGAACUUACAAUCUGCUUGUUUUUUUCCUCUGGGGUCCACACCAUAUCCAACCCAAUCUCAUCAUUCUGCCAUGCUCACGUUAUCCCUGCCUGCUCUUGCUCUCAUGUUCAUACAUCCUCAAAGAGUCCACUCUCCUUCAAGGCCAUACCUCAUUUCUCCUUACACUAUAGAUGAAACACAUGACUAUUUUCCUUCUGAUUCCUAAGUUCUGAGUCUAGGACCACUUUGUAAUCAGGUUUAAUUCCAGACCACAGCUGACCUUUUAUUUUUUUCACAUGUAAAAGUGAAGCUUAGGUACAGGUAUUCUAGAAGUAGCUGUGAUUAUUUGCUUAAAUCAUCUUUCAUGAAUGAAGGACAUAUUACCCUAGCUAUUGGGAGUUGACCUCGGAGAAGAAAGCUGACUUAGUUACACCAGCAAUUCUCCCCAACACACAUACACAGGGCAGCCCGUAUCCUGUGACUGCUUGAUGUGGUCAUAGCAAUCAGAGAAAGAGUUUAAAGUCUCAGCCCCUCUUGAUAACUCUGAGAGGCCAUCCCAUUUUAGGUAUCCCCAAGGGGUCAGCUGGACCUUGUGAUGAGCCCAAAGUCCAGCUCCUCCCUCUGCCUAUUCUGCCUCUUUUAAUUCCACUCCUCUGCAGUGGCUGAUCCCGAAAGCCCUCUUACUUCCAACACACACACCUUCAUCUCAGAGUUUGAUGCUUGGGGACCCCAACCUGCAACAGGUAUCCACAACUAUUUCCUUGCUCAACCAACCAACUCUCUACUGACUCACCAUCUUUCCUCCCCAUGGUAGGCAGAAUAAUGCCCAUCUCUACUCAAAGAUGCCUGUGCCCUAAUCCCCAGGAACUUGCGAAUGUGUUGCCUUAUAUGUCAAGAGGGACUUUGCGGAUGUAAUUAAAAGUCAUUGAACUCAAGAUAGGGAGAUUAUUCUGCAUCAUUCAGGUGGAUCCAGCCUAAUCAUAUGAGCCCUUAAAAGUGGAAAACCUUUCUUGGCUGUGGCCAGAGAUGGACUACAGAAGAAUGGUCAGGGAGAUGCAAUGUUGCUGCCUUUGAAGAUGGAGGAAGGAGCCAUCAGCCAAGGAAUGCAGGCAACCUCUAGAAGCUGGAAAGGGCAAGGAAAUAGAUUCUUUUCAGAGUCUCCAGAAAGGAGCCCAGCACUGCUGGUACCUUGAUUUUAGUCCAGUGUGACCCUUGUCAGACCUCUGACCUACAGAACUGUAUGUAAAACAAUGAAUUUGUGUUGCUUUAAGCCACUAAAGUUUGCAAUAAUUAAUUAUAGCAGCAAUGGGAAACUGAUACAGUCCCUUAGGAGUCAUCUUAAUACUUGCUCUUUUGCAUGAUCUUGGACAUGCCCUUCACUGGUCUGAGCCUUAAUUUUCUCACCUGUAAAACGACAAUUUUAGACUACAUGCUCCAAAGCCUUUUUCAACCUGACAUUUUUUCAUUCUAACUAUAUGGAUUACCUACUUUGCAACAUUUAUCUUUUUAUUCUAGCAAGGCAGAGUUUACUUGUCUUUUUGAUGAUUAUUCUGGGAAAACCUAUUUGAGAUGCUGCAGGAAGCAACAGAAUGGCCAUACAACAGGAUGAGGAGUGAGAUACUCUUUUUCUUUGUCUAACUCUUCUGGUCUGUCUUUAUGUUGAUUUCUAAAUUUUCUAUUCUGUAACUCCUUAUGGCCAUGGGAAAAAUGCUUCUCAGCUGGUGACCAAUUUAUUAAACAAAGCUAGAUGGCUAAUAGAUUUUGUCAUUUUGCUUUUUGCUAGUGGACCUGCAAAUACAUUUUUAUUUUUUGGUUAUGCUGAAAAUAAUUUGUGAAAAAUGGUAGUUACCAUGCUUUUAAGUGGGAUCAAAGGUAGCAGUGUUCUGACUGCUGGUUAAAGUUAACUCAGCCUCUAGGAAAAUCCACCACUUUUCAGAUUAAAAAAAAAAAAGUCCCUAGCCUGAAUUUUGUCAGGAGAAUGUAUAAUAAAAUGCCACUGUAAUUAAAAUACUUAUAAACCCGCAAGACACAGCUGUUGUGAAAGGAAAACAGGAUGCUAAAAUGGGAUAAAAGGAGACCCUUGUCUGGCUCCUUUGCCCUCCCAGUGGGUAUCUAAUACAGUUGCCAUUAACUGCUCUGUGUUAAGAAAAGCUGAGCUGACCCCAAAACAAUAAUGGCAGUAGCAGAAUUCUAAUGAUGACUUUCUUCCACACUUAUCUAGAUGGUAUGCUUUUCAAAGCACUUUCUGUCUACUCACUGAUUUGAGCCUCAAGUUCUCAGUAUUUCCCUAAGAAAGUAGGGGAAGUAGAGAGGGUGAACAUCAUCCACUUGAUUUGACAGAUGAGAAAAACAUGGCUUCCUUGGAGUCUAAAUUAAACUUGUGUCAUCACAGCAGCCAACAGCAGGUCUGGGGCCGGGGGCUGGUCUCCGUGUUGAGGUCUAGGUUGACUAUAGCUCAUUGCUCCUGGCAGUUGGAGUCACCCAACACAGGGUCAAACACAGUCUCCAAAGACUUUACACUGCAAACCUAGAGCCACUGUAACAGUUCUUUUUGCACUCAGUAACAAAAAAAAAAGUCACUGGAAAAUUAUUCACUAAAGUUAGCUAGGAAAAGACCAAAGAGUUGAAGGGAAGAAAAAACUAUAAGAAACCAAGAAGUGGAUUUCAGACUGUCACCUGCCUACUAGGGUUUGUGAUGCUGGCCACACAGUGUUGUUUCCAAACAUACCAAACUGGAGGGCACCCAUUUUCUUCCCUCUUGGGGCCCCACUCACAUUCCUUGGAGAAAUUUCCAAGAACCCUCUACAUUAUGGCCUCUAUAAACUGAAAUCACCAACAUUAAUACUAUUUGCUCCUCCUCACCAACCCAGGUGCAAUUAGGCUGACCAGCCUUGAAAAAAGUAAGAUGACCUGAGGUCAGUAGCAUGUAGUGGAAUAAAAAAGAAUAAUUUUCCUAGAUAUCCCAACUCAUUUGAACAAUGAGGAAUUGAGACUAAGUCUCUUCAAAGAUUCCAUUUAUUUUGGUAAGAUGCCAUUUUACAUUUAGUGUAGUAAUACAAUUUUGACUUAAAAGGCCAGGGUUUGAGAACCAAGUGGCCAGUUUGACUGGGCUAUCAUGUGAUCAUCAUGGUCAUUAUCCCUUGGUCUCCUUGAGGGUCAGUUCUUUCAUCUAUAAAAUAGAUAUGAUCAUAGCGAAUCUCCUUUUCACUAUACAAGGUUGUCAUGAGAAUCAAAUAAAUAAAUGCUAAAGCACUACACAAGAGAUGUUAUGAUUUUAUCUUUGGCAGUAGUGCUAAUCAUUAUAAUAGCAGCCUAUUAAUAACAAUGAUAUUACAAGAAACAGCAAUUGUGGUAGUGUUGGUAAGGUACUUCUGGAAUUAUUUAUAUAUGUGGCUACUUGCUGGAAAAGCCACCCAUGUGUUGAGAUAAUGUGUAUUGUGCUCUUUCUUGAAUUAUCUCCUUGGGACUUUACAACCCUAAGAGGUAUAUCUUAUUACUGUCAUUACACACACGCACACUCAAAAAAAGAAAAACCAACCAACCAGUCAACAAACAAAAAGCUAAAGCAGAGAGAGAGAGAGAGACAGUGAGUUAGUUUGAAAGCUAGUAUCUUGAAACCCCAGUGAGUUCUGCUGACUUCCAGCACUGGCAGGCACACCUACCACUUCCAGUGGAGAACAACCUUGAAACCUAGAAUCUUUAGGACCUUGUUGCCAGUGGCUUAUUGCCUUAACCAUGAGAAGGGGAUAUAGCUGGCAUUAGAAGUUCCUCCAUAUAGGGAAGAACAAUUGACCAUUCAAAGAGUCAUUGAUAAGUUAACUAAUCCCUGCUCUGUGAGAUAUAUAUGAAUGCCAGUAAAAGUUUCCUCAGCAAGAAGGUUCUAAUGCUAUGAUCUUUCCUGACAGCACUCACAGUGUGUGCUACCCUUCUGCAUGGUGGAAUUGUGGGGAAGUAACUACUAGCCAGAGACUACCUCAAGGCCUCUUUCAUCAAGGAGAGGCCCAUAUGAUUAGUUUUCACCAGUGAGGUAUGAAUGAAAGUGAUGUGUGCCAAUUUUAGGCCAAGUUGGGUAGGAAGUGGGGGUGUCAUCUUCAUUUUCUCCUUCCCAAUCAACCCAGCUAGAUACAGAGGACCUAACAUACAACUCAGAGUCCCUAGAAGAUGGAGAAAACACAGACAAUUGGCAGAGGAGAUGAGCAUGUGAUUAUUGUUACCACUUGUCUGGAAGCAACCAGAAUGGAGUGGGGAAGACUCAAGGAGGAGAUCUUCACAGGACUCACCUCUCAUCACAGCUCCCGUGUGGUUGUAAUCACCCCAGAGGGAAAAAUAAUUUCGGUUUUUUAUGGUUUAAUUAUUGGUGAUAGCAGCUGUUUUGAAGACACAAACACAGAAGCAAGUUCUAGAACAUACUCACAGUUUCCUUGGUCACAGUGUUGUCAGUGGUUCUAUAAAGGUCUUAUGAAUCUCUACUUAGUUGACCACAAGUAGUAAGCAAGAAACAAUCCUGUAAAGAGAAUGGAGGUCAGAAUAAAGAAGCCUUGAGGGUUUAAAUCGCUUCUUGAAAAGAAAUGCCCGUGUGUCAAGGAGCUAAGGGAGACCAGCCCAGGAGGAGCUGAAUCCUGCCAACAAUCACUUGAGUGAACUUGAGAGUGAAUCCUCUCCAUGUUAAGCCUUGAGGUGAUUGUAGCUCCAUCAAAUACCUUCAUUGUAGCCUUGUGAGAGAUCUGAGUCAGAGGAUGGAGUUAAGCCAAGCCCAGAUUCCAGACCCUCAGAAACUUGAAAGCGGAAUACCUGGUUAUCCGGAGGUCACUGUCUCCACACAGAGUGGUGUCCUUGAUGCUAGCUUGGGGCAAAGAAGCCAGGCAAUCAAGGCUUUAAAUGCGUGGAUUUAUCAUCACCUCAAAUCGCCUGUCACUGUGAUGGAACAAAAAUAGAAAGUUGGGCUAAUAUCUUCCUGCUAGCAUGUUUCCAUCUGUGAGUUUGAUCAAAGCAACUUUAUCUGCGAAAUUUUGAAGAAUCAGCUUCAUCUCCACUUGGCAGCAUGUGGUAAAUGAAGGUAUUUCUGAGUCAGCUGGUUUCUGAGAACCUAAAAACCCAGGAGAAAGAUAUAAGGAGGCAAGGACGCUCAUUCUUCCAUAACCUAUAGGAAACCCAGUUUCAUCAUAAAUAUAUGAAAUCUCGGUAGCAUCCUCCAAAUCCAUAAGGGGGUAGACUGCUCUGAUGAAGCACAUCCAGUCCAUCAGCAGCCUGAAUGCUUUUGUAUCAAUAAGUAUUCCACCAGAUACCAGCUGAGCCAGUUCCCUCAAUUGUGAGAGACAUACUCCAGCAAGGAAGACAACCAAGACCAAGAAGUCACAGAGUCUGAAUGGGUUAUGAAUUUUCUUUGUGUUUGGCAUCCUGCAAGCUCCACAGGAGCAGGCACACAUGCCUGUUUUGUUCCUCUCCAUGAAGUUCGUGCCUAGCACAAAGUAAGUGCUCAAUAAAUUAUUGAGUGAAUGAAUUAAUUGUCUAACAAGACACUUAACACACAUGAUCUUAUUGGAUUCUGCAGCAACCCUAGAGGGUACAUAUAGUAAGAAGUUCCUAUAAUGACCAUUGCCUAGGCAAGAUUACAAAGAUUACUAUGGAGGAAUGAUCUCACAAGGUCACAGAGCUAGAAAAAGGCAGAAUUGGGACCUAUACCCAGAAUUUCUAACUCUAGCUCUGUAAAGCUGGGACACUGGAGAAGCAGAGGUUUUGGUGUAGUACUCCUCUGAGCUCGGGGUCUUAGAAGUCCACAUGGGGCUGCUGGAGUGGUGAGGGGAGAUGGAGGUGGGAAGAAGGGAGAAGACCCCUAUUCCCCUAUUCUCUUUCAAUCAGAGAGGAUUCCUCGACUUAUUUACCUGCCUGUGAUCUCAUCUGAAGAGAAUUCUAUGACCCCCCAAAAUCUGCGAUUCACUCUGUUCCAGUUCUGUUACUCUUUAUAUCUGGAGCUAGAACUGGGCUUCAGAUCACUGUCACAAGAGGUGACCAGAGAAU